GUUCUGUGUGAGUAUUUUGUGGGAACUGUGACUUUUCAGUGAGUACUGUGUACUGUAUAAGUACUAUGUGUGUAAUAUGUGAGUAUCGUGUAAGCACUGCGUGAGUAUUGUGUGAGUAUUGUGUGAGUACUGUGUGAGUAUUGUGUGAGUUUUGUGUGAGUAUAGCUUGUGUUGUUUUGUCUGGCCAGAUGCUAAAAGAACAGAUGAUGUAAGGAGCUCAGUUUCCUGUUUGGUGUUUUGUGGGUGUUUAAAUGUUUCAGACGUAAGUAUGAGUAAGGUCAAAAGGAAGAAUCUGAGAUUCAGACUGAAGAGAGACGACAGAACGUCUGCUUUUUAAACGCUUUAGGAACUUCUGAAUUAAGCAACUCGUCUUUUUACAACCCUGAGAAAAACUCAUCAACUCAUCUCAAAGAAAACUCCAAUACAGAGAACCAGCAGACCACGUCCAGACCACGUCCUCACAACGUCCUCACAGCGUCUACAGAACGUCUACAGAACGUCCUCACAGCGUCUACAGAACGUCUUUUCAGAACUUCUUCAGAACAUCUUAACUGCUACAGAGUCUCCACAUCACUCCACUGAGUUUCCUUCAGAAGAACAUCUGAACAGAGAUGGCGUCUCCUAGAAGGACGGAGGACGUCUACCAGACCCUCCACCAUCCUCCAGCAGUGAGGAACCUCCACAAAGAACCCGGAUCAGAGAGGAGCAGCAAGCUGAUGAUGAUGCUGAUGAUCUUUAACUCUCUGUUAUUGAUCGCUGUAUUGAUCCUGAUCGGACUUUUUUUCAGGGCCAGUAUUGGAGGAGAAUAAAGGGGCGUGGCUUCUUCAUGACAAUUCUUUCUAUUUACUCUGGGAGGCGAAAGGAGACUGUACUAAAGCAGCGAACUACUGUAGCGCCAAAGCAUCCAACAUCAGACUCGCUGUACUCACACCUAAACUGAGGGUAAUUUAUCACCUGAGUAUUAAGUGAUCAAAUUCAGAAUAUAGAUGUUAUGUAUCACCAUUAGCAUGAAUCCCUAAAAAAUACCUAACCACACCCUAUAAACCACCCAACAAUAUACUAAUAGCCACAUAGCAACGGCCUAGAAAUGACAUAUACAGUACACAUAUUAACAGUUAUUUAGCAACAGCCUAUAAACCAGUUAAUGCCUAGCAAUACCAUGUUAACCACCUAGCAAUACCCUAUUAACAGUUGACGGUGUGUGUGUGCAGGACUGGAUAAUUACUCAGGCUAAAGGAAGAAGGCUCUUGGUUGCAGAGGUGAGUUUA
rnacentral:lncRNA from 1 species